rnacentral:lncRNA from 1 species
GGCAAGCUGUCGGGGAGUCAGUUCAUGGCUGUGUAAUUCCCAGUAUGGCCGGAGGAGAAAUGCAGCCGGCUUGAGGAGGGUCCUGUUGAGCUGAUUACUGUGAGCCGCCCUAAACCAGAACUGAUCAAGCUCUGCUGGCAGCAUCUUUAGAACUUGGGUGGCCCCAUUCGAAGCUGAAAAAAAAAAAUCAACAAAAGGGCAAGGGUGGGGAGAUUUCAUGCACAUCCUUGAAUAAAGGAGUGAUGGUUUUCAAACUC